CAACUGACUCUCAGAUGUUCCUCGAGCAUCUCCUGUGAAUUGAGUCCUGGCGAGGCAGCAGGGGCUCAGCACCCAGGACAGGCGAGAGGGGGGCCCCAAAGCCCCGCUGGGGUGCCGGCUGUUUGGACAGUGGCUUCUGCACGAGCACAGGGCGCUCACCUCCUGCCCUCAUUGCGCCUGCAGCUCUGACCCCCCUGGUCCCAUGCCAGCCGGCACGUCCUGUGAAGUGCUUGUCACCUUCAAGCCCACAGUAAACAAAGAUCUGGAAGGAAACGUCUCGUUUCUGGCUCAGACGGGCAGGUUUUCCGUUCCACUGAAAUGUUCAGCGAAGAAAUGCUCCACCUUAUAACUGAAGUUUGUGCCUUUGGACCCCCUUCACCCAUUUUGCCCACCUCCACCCCUGCCUCUGGGAACCACCAUCUGUUUUUGUAUCUCGCUUCGGUGAACAUGGGCAUGCACACCACUCUUCUGAUGAUACCCAUUGCGUGCCUUUGGAUAAAUACCCAGAAGUGGAAUUGCUGGAUCAUAUG